rnacentral:rRNA from 1 species
UACAGAGGUCCCAAGCGUUGUUCGGAUUCAUUGGGCGUAAAGGGUGCGUAGGCGGCGCGGUAAGUCGGGUGUGAAAUCUCGGGGCUUAACUCCGAAACUGCAUUCGAUACUGCCGUGCUUGAGGACUGGAGAGGAGACUGGAAUUUACGGUGUAGCGGUGAAAUGCGUAGAUAUCAGGAGGAACACCUGCGGUGUAGACGGCUUUCUGGACCAUUGCUGACGCUGAGACACGAAAGCGUGGGUAGCAAACAGG